CGGGGUGAGUAGCGCGUGGGUAACCUGCCUCAUACAGGGGGAUAACAGUUAGAAAUGGCUGCUAAUACCGCAUAAGCGCACAGGACCGCAUGGUCUGGUGUGAAAAACUCCGGUGGUAUGAGAUGGACCCGCGUCUGAUUAGCUAGUUGGAGGGGUAACGGCCCACCAAGGCAACGAUCAGUAGCCGGCCUGAGAGGGUGAACGGCCACAUUGGGACUGAGACACGGCCCAG
rnacentral:rRNA from 1 species